UGGGGAAUAUUGGACAAUGGGCGAAAGCCUGAUCCAGCCAUGCCGCGUGUGUGAAGAAGGUCUUCGGAUUGUAAAGCACUUUAAGUUGGGAGGAAGGGCAGUAAGCGAAUACCUUGCUGUUUUGACGUUACCGACAGAAUAAGCACCGGCUAACUCUGUGCCAGCAGCCGCGGUAAUACAGAGGGUGCAAGCGUUAAUCGGAAUUACUGGGCGUAAAGCGCGCGUAGGUGGUUAGUUAAGUUGAAUGUGAAAGCCCCGGGCUCAACCUGGGAACUGCAGCCAAAACUGGCGAGCUAGAGUAGGGCAGAGGGUGGUGGAAUUUCCUGUGUAGCGGUGAAAUGCGUAGAUAUAGGAAGGAACACCAGUGGCGAAGACGACCACCUGGGCUCAUACUGACACUGAGGUGCGAAAGCGUGGGGAGCAAACAGG
rnacentral:rRNA from 1 species